rnacentral:lncRNA from 1 species
UUAAACAAUGAAGAUGUGCGAAUAAAUCAAAUUUAUUCAAAUAUAUCUUGAAUAAAUUUUAAAUUCUUAUGAACCUUUGACAGAUUUACCAAUAUAUAAACUUAUAAAAUAAUUGAAAUAAGUAAUAUUUAUUUAAUUCAAGUGAUUUACAGUAUGUAUUUUCUUUUUUAUGUGUACACUGAAAAAAAGAGUCUUGUUGAAUUAAUUGGAUAUCAUCCAGAAUCUGACUGAACCUAUCAGAUUUCCAAUUACUUCAAGACUCUUUUUUUCAGUGUACAAUAAAGAAAAUUGUGGACCACAUAGAAAAAAAACCUAAAUUUUUUAUUACAAAAUUCAUAUACGUACACACAUCAAUUUCAUUAAAGGUUAUUCGCAAAUUAUUGAUCCAAACAUUUCGCACAUAAUAGAUAUUUCUCAUCUCUGAUCUUCUCUGGUUCAAUGCCUCGCCGCACUUUGCUUCCUCAUUCCCUUUCAUGCCUUGCCCUCUUCGUUUUCCUCACCUCCUUCUCAUUCUCUUUUCACAUGCUGCUUUUUUUUUUAUCGCGAGAAUAGUCAGGCAGAUUCGAUCGCGUCGCACAACUAUCCUCGAGCUAUGCGUCGCGUCGGCCUCAAAGAGCAAAGAGUGACGUCUCCUUCUCGGAGGUCUUCAACCUCUGACCGCGACUGUAUAAACCUAGAGACUUACACAUUAGAACAAGAGAUACGCCAAUAGAUUACAUCGGUCACGGUUGGCCUCGCAAAAAGCGCCAACCUGUAAAAUACAAAAUUGUACUUUUGUUACAUUAUCCGAAUUAUAUCAUUAUCUGUGAAUUAAGAGACACGAUAAAUCUGUAAUAUGUAUUAAAACAUUCGAGGCUUGAAGCAAGUACUAACGAAAUUUGAGAUUAAAGGUGAAAUUGUAAAUUGACAAUAGUAAAUAUUUAUAUUUAAAUUUUUUGUUUUUAAUGAUUUAACACAUAUAUAAUAGCGUCGAACUUUUUUAUUCGAAUAAUGAAUAAUAAAUAUUGAGGCGCUUGUAAUUAUUAUACAGAACAUUUUAAAUGAUUAAUUAAAUAAUCUGGAUUUGCCUUGCUUUAUUAAUGCAAAAAGUACAACAUUUCUUACUCACUAAAAAAUCAAAUAAAUAAAUUAUUAAAAUUAGAAAAUGUUACAAAACGAAAUAUUCCAUUAAUAUAAAAAACAUAAAUUAAUGAAAAGUUAAAAAUUUUCGAAAUCCUAUCUUUUACACAUGAAAUAUGAUAUAUUAUUUAAAAAAAAUAUAUAAAAGCGAUAACGUAUGUGUGAAUCAUAAUCAAAUAUGAAAUAUAUUCAAACGAAAAUAAUUUCUAUACGUUACGUUACUUAGAAAAUGGUUGCAGCAAACAGAAAAAUCGUCAGUUAAAAACGAAGAAAGAAUGUUAACAAAACAAAUAACAGAGAUGAAACUUAAUCGCGUUUUAGAUCUUCGCCUUUAACGAAAUUAUCUUGAAUUGAUCGAAUAAUCCUGUAAGAAGAACUGAUGAAAGAAAAACGGAGGCCGAAUGCGAUCGAUCGUCGUGCCAUCGGAAAUCCGAGCCGGUCUUCAUUUCCUAUCCGUCUAGACGUUAUUUCCAAACAGCCGAUUGCACCACACAGCCAUCGCUUUACGAUGGAUGUGUUAUAUGUAUACAUUAAACCGGUAAUCCAGAAAAUAAAUUGUCAAAUUUUUUAAGAAUAUUUUAUGAUGUCGUUUUGCACAUAUUUGACAUAAAUUGGCUAUUUGGCGAUUAGACAUAUCAAAUUUAUAUAUACAUAUACAUUUGUGUUGUGUUUAAAUUAUUAUAUAUAAUAUGACAUAUUAAUGUAGAUAUAUAUGAUUUAUAUUUAAAUAAUAACAGUGAGAAGUAAAUUGAGAUUAAUAUAUAAUUAAUAUGUAAUAUUAAUGUUUUUAUGAAUUUUAAUUUAAUUUGCUAAUUGACGCGUUUCGACGAAAUGGGAAAGUUUUAAACCUUAUUUUAUUCCUCGCGAAAGUGUCUCGCGAGAAGAUCGAGAAUAGAGAAAAAAACGCACACUUGUGAAAGAAGAGUAUGUUUUGCAAUUCCGACACGCAGAUUUUCCUCACCACCAGGAAGCGACGUGUAGUUCUACCGGAAGUCCGUAUGCACACGUAUGAGAGCACGUGCGCUAACCACGGACGGGUAACAGUGCACCGCGGCGCAAUUAAACGCAGCACAAUGACGACGAAGUUAAUGUCACGGCCAUUGCGGAGCGGACGCGGUGCGAUCGCAAUUGAGCGCAAUUUGCUCGCCGCACCCGCAAUAACCGAUCGAGUGAUGUCGGGACGCUUAAGGACACGCGUUUAAAUUUAACAUUCAGGAAUCGAGCCCCUGAGGUCAUUCGUAUUCGCCUUUCAUAAGUAAAAAAAAAUCUAUUAAGUGACUUCUAUAUAUGUUUUUUAAUAUCUCCAGAAAGUAUUUAUAUAGUUGUUUAUUUUUGAAAAUGGACAUAAAUAUUAUAACUAAUUAUAGUCGACAAAGAUGAGAGAAAUGCAAGUUUUCAGUAAUUAAAAAUUCUCCAAAAAAAAAAGGAAUUCAAGGAAAGAUACUUUUAUAUCUUAAAGUUAACAUUGAAUUUUAAAAAAUUCGAAUAUUACCUGUCCAAAAAAUUGAGUUAUUCAAUAAUGUAAAAAUAAUAUUACACGUUGCUUUGAGUAUUAUUAUUGAUAUUGUAAUGAUAAA